GCGGUAUUCUCUGUGUAAACAGCUUAACACAGUACCUGGCAGAGGGAGAGGGAGAAAGGGGGAGAGAGAGAGGGAGAGAUGAUGACUGACUUACAGACAGACAUACUUCAAUCAAAGAAUAUAGUGGAUUUCAACAUGAGCUUCUCAAGGGGGAGAGCUCACCCCUUCAAAGUGUAUCAGAGAAAAUUGUUUGCCAAAAUCCCAAAUCAAAAUGGAACCAGAACCUGUACGAGUAUGCCCAGAGCUGACAGAUUCACAGGGACCUGUGGGCCUGUGGAAGCAGGGAAGGAGAGAAGUGAGCCAUAGGAGUGACGAGCAAUUAAAGGUAUUUUUCUGGCUCCUACCCAACUCCAAUCUAAUUUAGAGAUGACGGAAUACCUACUUCAAAUUCAAGAGGUAAGGAAAAGUGCCAUUUAUUAUUAAGGAGAAGGUAGACAGCUCAUUUUUUACCAAAAAAGCACUCGAUAUUACGCAUCACUGGAGGAAUAGUCAAUCCUGUCGAUACUGUCCAAUUAUUUCAGCCAAAAAAAAAAACACUAAAAAAUCUUUUACCUACAAAAUUAUAAGGUGCCCAACAUUGCCUUAUUUUUUUUUUCCGUUAGCACAGUAGUUAAGGUAUAGGGCCUGCAACAUUGCCUUAUUUUAUACAUAAUUAGCCAAACUAACUAGGUAAAGUUACUUCAAAAAGAUUUUUUCAUGCUACCUAAAGAAUAAUUUACAAGAUUAAACUAGGCUUACUUAAACUUUGCCAAAAAGCUCUUAAAAGUGUCUAAAAUACAUCAUUUGGAAGAAAAAAAAUGCAUCAUCUGGUAAUUUGAACUCAAGAUAAAAUCCUCACGAGUUAUUGGGAUGAAACAAUUUAAACUCCUGGAUGGUAUUUUUCUCUCACAACCAACUUGCCCAAUAUUUUGAGGAAAAAAACCACAGUGUUUUCCUCUCAUAAUGUCUCUUCUGUUGUAUUCCUCUUUAAGACAGACCUCAUGCUGUCAGGAGAGGUUUCUCUAAGCAAAAUGCCAUUUCCUUCUAGAGCAGACAAAAGAUUACAGGAACACUUGGCUGCUAGCCAGUGUCCAAGAUAAGGAGAGAAAAUCUGGCCAGUCGAUGGCUUUUAACCCUCUCCCUCCUUAUCUCUUUCUCUUACUUUCCAUGGGCUGGACUAGUGUUCUCGACCCCUUAAAGCCCCUCUAAGCUUAGGCAUGAGGAGACAGAAGCAAUGAGCUGGAAACAGCAGAUGCAAUAGCCUAAAAUCCAAAAAGAAGGGAAAUCCUUGUCAUAAAAUCUUUCCAAUUACUUAGCAAUGGUCUCUUCCUCUACAGCAAAUGCCCAGCUAGCCUACAGCAGUCUUUUGCCAUAAGCAACAAAACUGGCUAGAGGAAGAAACAGGAAAGCUAAAAUCCACUGAAAUGGGAGGAAACAGGAAAGCUAAAAUCCACUGAAAUGGGAGGAAACAGGAAAGCUAAAAUCCACUGAAAUGGGAGGAAACAGGAAAGCUAAAAUCCGCUGAACCUGGCCUCUGAUUGCCAGGUCACUAACAAGUUCACUGCUCUUUGGUAACUAAAAUAAGAAUCCUCAAGGUAAACAAAGGUUGCUAAUAGGUGUCAAGUACUUCCAUCAUUGCCUCCCAAAGCCUGCAUAUCUCAGAGUACACACACCAAGGGAAAACCACAGUGACUUUUUUGCUCAGCAGGAGGUUUACUAUGUCUGAGGAAUAAUUACUCUACCUGUCUUGUUCUAAAAUGUAGAGAAAAACAAGAUCGGAUUUAGUUUGGUGUUUCAGACGUGAGUGGAUUUCCCUCCCUCUUCAUCCGUGCUACAACUUAAUGUUAAAAGUUUGGUAUUUUCAUCUUGUUUUAGUGGUAUAGUAUUUUUUGUAAUAAUUCUCCUAAAUGUAAACUAUAACUGUAUAUAAAAUGUAAGUGUUCUUGGAGAUAUGGUGCUAGAUAUUAGACUGUGUUUGUAGAUAGUGUCGUCCUCAAAAAAGGGUAGUAUGUAUAUGUGUAAAGUUAGUUAAUAAAAUGCAUGCAAAUUCUAUGUAUGACCUACACCUUGGUCAGUUUCUGAUGUAGAACACAGUACAUUUGUUUUUUAAAUUUAUUUUUAAAUUAUAUACUACAGGAUAUGUAAAAUGGCACCAAAGUGGGGUGGCAGGAAGUGAUGACUUUCAUUCCUUAAACCCUUGAUAUAUGACAGAUGAGAAGUUAUUCUGGUACAAUUGGUCAUUAGUGUGAACUAAUCAUCUUGGCUGAAGUCCUUGCUGACAGUUUUCCACAACACACUUGGCACUGGUAUGCUGUUUUCUAUUCACUGAAUAUAUAGAAUGCAAAUUCAAAGAAGACCAUCCUUCUCCAUUAAAAAGGAAGGACUCCAGGAUAGGCGAGUGGAGUCCAGUUAGCGGGACGAAAAGAAUACUGCAUUCUGAAGACCCAACGGACACCUGACCGUGAACUGACAUGAUUUGCACUUGGCAGAUCCAUAACGCGACCAUCCAUGCCCUCCUAGAGCAGUAACAAAAUUCAGAAAAAGGCUGCUGUUUUUUCCCCUUUCAUUAGUUGUCUGAGAGAUAAGAUAGAGUGAGCAUGGAUGGUUAACUACAGAGAAAGGUAGUGGGACUCCUCUAUGGGGUCACAGCUACAGUAUUUGAUAGUUACAGUAGUAUAUCAAUGGGAUUUGUGUCAGAUAAGAAAAGAAAACUAUAAGAUGAUUUCGUUAUAUUUUCAGAACAAAAUGUUACAACUAAAAAAAUCUAUAUAUAUACCCUCAAUAAAUUAUUUCUAAAACUGCCUUUAAUAUCCAAUUUUGUGUGCUGCUUUGAAACUGAAAACAGAAAAAUGUAUUUAAUCAAUAAACAGUUCUCUUUAAUAUUUUAAAGUUUGAAUUUAAAAGUUUCAUUUUUCUUUAAAAAAAAGAAUUUGCAAUUGAAAAGUGCCUUUUCAAAGGAUUGUCAAACUACAGUCCUGGGGCCAAGUUCCCACUGGCACAACUUAGAUUCAGGUGCCCAAAAGGGGUAAGCUUUAUCCUCCUCCCCUCAGCAAGAAGAGAACCCCACUCACACCCAAUCAAAUUCACAAAUCAACACUGUUACUUGG
ensembl:lincRNA